UUGCAAAUUCUGUCAUGUACAGUAAAUACAAUAAAGUGCAACUGUCUUUUGAAGGGAAUGGGAGCUGAGACUCUGAUAGGUUUAUUGCAUGUAACGCGGACAGCCCUUUAAGAUGGGCAUGCAGGCGCGCUGAUCAUUUUUCCCAUUGUUAAACAAAAUUGAUUUUGGACACACACUAACUGCACUUGCGCCGUGCGCUUUAGACCAUGUGCUCAGAUCGUUAAAAUAGGCCUACUGUAGAUUUUAAAAGUUAUAGUUAUCAUCGUUUCUUCCCAUGAAUGUAUUGUAAAGAUGAUUUAUUGUUUUAUUUUACUUUUUACAAUCUUUCUAAAAGACCACCUGGCAUUAUAAGUGUCUCCCACUUUUACUUUAUCUAAGUUGUCUGAUUUGUCGAGUUUGUGCGCAGACUACAAACUGAGAAGCCCACAAGAGCAAAAGCAUGCACACACAUUUCCUGUAUGAGCAGGGGGGAGACUGCAACUUACCAGAUAUGUUGGUGGGAUUCUUCACCUCCCACAAUGAAGAAUAGUACAUACAGCCUUUUUUAUUCAUGAAAGGUCAAUGAGUAACAAACUUGUAUCAAUGAGUAUUUUUUUUUGUACAGUAGGCUACCUACUGAUUGUGUCUGUUUAUAUGAAUGAGUAAAUUAAUCCAAUAGCCUAUUCCUCAUCAAGUUCAAAGCUUAUUUGCAAGUGUAUAAAUCAGUUUGCUGCUGUACUCAUUGUGUUGGUGUGUCUAGGCUGGUUUCACCUAAGACUGUGACUCAUUCCUUUAAAGGGGACUUUGGUAAAAAAAAAAAAAAAAAAAGUUCCUUAUUUAAUCUCAAGAUUGUAUUUACCUUGAUAUGAUUCAGUUAGAGAAGUACAGUUUCAGAAUGUAUGAGCAAGACUCUCCUCUCAUAGGGGAGUA